GACGAACGCUGGCGGCGUGCUUAACACAUGCAAGUCGAACGAAGUGGCGAACGGGUGAGUAAUACGUGAGUAACCUGCCAUCCUUUUUGGGAUAAGCAUUGGAAACGGGGUCUAAUACCGAAUAAAGGGGGAUGGGCUCGCGGCCUAUCAGGUUGUUGGUGGGGUGAUGGACUACCAAGGCGGUGACGGGUAGCCGGCGGUAGUGGGUGACCGGCCAAAUUGUGCAUGAGUUACUGCCCGGACUUCUACAGGAGGGGGCAGUGGGGGAUAUUGGACAAUGGGCGAAAGCCUGCUGCAUGUACUUCGCGUGGGGGAUGAGGGCUUUCGGGUUGUAACACUCUUUCGCUAUCGACCGGGUAGGUGGAGAAUAAGCGCCGACUAACUACGUGCCAGCAGCCGCGGUAAUAC
rnacentral:rRNA from 1 species